rnacentral:rRNA from 1 species
UACGUAGGGAGCAAGCGUUGUCCGGAAUCAUUGGGCGUAAAGCGCGCGUAGGUGGCCUCAUAAGUCCGCUGUGAAAGUCAAAGGCUCAACCUUUGAAAGCCGGUGGAGACUGCAAGGCUAGAGUUUGGCAGAGGGGAGUAGAAUUCCACGUGUAGCAGUGAAAUGCGUAGAUAUGCGGAGGAACACCGAUGGGCGAAGGGCAACCCCUCCGGUCGA